rnacentral:misc_RNA from 1 species
AAUAAAAAUUAUCAUUAUAUUACACUACCUAUAUUUUUUAUUUUACAAACAAUGGAGGAAUGUAAUAACAAUUAUAUUAUAUUAUAUUACAAUUUUGAUUGCAUUACAUUAUACUCUACUAAACGUUACUUAAAAUCCUAUGGAUUUGAAUUGAUCGAAAUUGUAUUUGAAUCGGAGUGGAACCUAUUAGCUUAGUUCCAUACCAAAACUGAAUUUUAUCUUAAGUUUUUUCUUAAAAAAAAUCAUUAGAUUAAAUUAAAACUAAAAUUAAGGUGUUAUUGUAUCACUGAAAUCAUGGAAAAUGUUACAAAGAGAAAAAUGAAAAAAUAAUAACAAUAAAUAGAGAGAGAUCAGAUGCACCAGAAGCAUGCUGAUGAAGAUGGCAUCUGUAUCUACCAGAAGCAUCUCAAGAAGUUAAUGAGGAAAUGAAACAAAUAAUUUUCAUUGUCGAGCAAUUCAUGUCGAACUAGUCUCUCCAAGAUUAUAUUCUGAGGCAGAAGUUCACUGUAAAAUAGUACGGUGGAGACAGAAGCCGCAGGCUCACUUAUUAGGGAUGUCAAUAGCCUCACCAGUGACCGGAACAUCACCGGAGUAUGAGACAUGGCUUUUGGUAGGGAGACGACCAACAAACAUAAUGGGAAACUGUGAAUGGA